rnacentral:rRNA from 1 species
GAUGAACGCUGGCGGCGUGCCUAAUACAUGCAAGUCGAGCGAACAGAUGAGGAGCUUGCUCCUCUGACGUUAGCGGCGGACGGGUGAGUAACACGUGGAUAACCUACCUAUAAGACUGGGAUAACUUCGGGAAACCGGAGCUAAUACCGGAUAAUAUAUUGAACCGCAUGGUUCAAUAGUGAAAGACGGUUUUGCUGUCACUUAUAGAUGGAUCCGCGCCGCAUUAGCUAGUUGGUAAGGUAACGGCUUACCAAGGCAACGAUGCGUAGCCGACCUGAGAGGGUGAUCGGCCACACGGGAACUGAGACACGGUCCAGAAUCCUACGGGAGGCAGCAGUAGGGAAUCUUCCGCAAUGGGCGAAAGCCUGACGGAGCAACGCCGCGUGAGUGAUGAAGGUCUUCGGAUCGUAAAACUCUGUUAUUAGGGAAGAACAAAUGUGUAAGUAACUAUGCACGUCUUGACGGUACCUAAUCAGAAAGCCACGGCUAACUACGUG